UGCUCCCUCCCCUCCCACCUGCCUCUGCACCGCCGAGGUGGAGGGCAGGCGGGAGCUGUG
rnacentral:miRNA from 1 species